rnacentral:lncRNA from 10 species
CAGCGCACGCGCUCCCAUUCAAAGCAGACCCGCUCCGCGGCCGCACUGAAGCUCCAAAGCCGCGCCGCCUGCCCCAGCGCAGCUCUGUCUCGUGGGGCGCACGCCCGAGCCCGCCUGCCGGCCGCCGCCGCGGAGCCACCGCAAUCAGCGCAGGAGGCGGCCACCUCUUCGAGGGAGGGGUCUCGCCUGAGACUCCCCUUGGUCCCCGCCAUGGGGACCAUGGCACGACUGGAGGCGCCCCAGUGCCCCGGGUUCCUGGCCCGCCUCCUCGGUGGCACCUGGUGCCUGCUCUGUAUCGCCGGACAGGACUCAUUUCUUCAAGUGGUUUCGACUUCCUAUUAUCUGGAUUUGAUCCAUCACUUAUGUCAGAUCAACUAAGCCUGGUCCAUCAUGGUUACAAAGUGCCCAGCCUGGCACCAUGCAUGGUAUGCGGAGACCAAAGCCAAGGGGCUGUUUUCCUGCGGGAAUUUACACUGAUUCGAAGAGAGAGCCUCCAUGAAGAUUUCCUGUCUGACCUCUUGAAUAGUCACAAAACUGAAGACUCGAACCAAGCCAGAGCCUAGAACAUGCCCAGUCCUUAGAAGCCAGAGAUUUUUCCUGCUUCAACUGUUGAAAAAGUUGCCAUUUGGGCAUGGUCUUGGUCCCUUUGUGCUGCUUUAAGAGAAUACCACAAAUGGAGUAAUUUAUAAAGAACAGAAAUUUAUUUCUCACAGUUCAGAAGGCUGGGAAAUCCAAGAUCAAGACACCAGCAGGUUCGGUGUCUGGUCUCUGCUUUCAAGAUGGUGCCCUGAAUGCUAUAUCCUCCAGAGGAGGGGAGUGCUGUGUCCUCACAUGACAGAAGGCAGAAGAGCAAAAAUGGGGACAAAAACUCCCUCAUCAAGACCUUUUAUGAUGAUUCUGCCAUCAUAACCUAAACACCUCCCCAAAAGCCCACCUCCCAACACUAUUGCACUGGAGAUUACAUUUCAAUAUGAAUUUUGGUGGAGACAAAAAUAUUCACAUCAUAACAUUCUGCUGCUGGCCCCCCCAAAUUUAUGUGCUUCUCACAUACAAAAUACAUCAAUUUCAUCUCAAUGUCCCUGAAAGUCUUGUCUCAUUCCAGCAUCAACUUUAAAGUCCAAGUCCAAAGUAUCUUAUGAACAUCCUAUGGAUCCCCUAAAGUGUUACCUAGGCCACAGGUAGCCAUUCCUCUAAUUACCUCAUUUGCCAGCGGCUUUUCUCAUUAUAAUCUGUUACCAUAGGUGGGAGUAGAGGACAGGCAUGGUCACAGUACUCCUAUUGAAUAGUGAUAUAGCUGGGAUUAUACUAUACUGACAGUCUCAUAACUUCACCAUAUAAUUAUUUUGACAAGUUUACACAACCUUCUGUCCUUUUGGUGUUCCGUAAUUUAUUUUCCACUCUUUGUUUUGUUAAUUUUUUCCCAUUUUUUUCCAUUAUAAAUACCUCAUUAUCAGCAUCUUCAUGCAUAAAACUUUUUCUAAAUUUCUCAUCUUUUUAAGGUAUAUAAAACUGUUCUUGUAAACUACUUAUUCCCUGCUUCUUAAUUACUCUGGGAUAAAAUAACCAGACAAGUAAACUUUUAGAAGUAAGCCUAAGGUAAAAGUUAAUAGGCUCUGAAGGAAGGUUAAAUAUAUGGACUUUGUGAUAUUUUAACCUCUCAAAAGCAUUUUGUGUUUUUCUUCUGCUUUCAGGCUGGUCCACAUGGUGAAUGUGGCCUGAAACAUACCUUCCUCUAAAGUGUGCUAAAUUUCUCAGGACCUGGUUGAAAAGCAAAGGACAUCUUAUAGCUCAGAUUGUUAGUGUAGUUUAACAGAAGCUUAGACAUAAAGUAAAAGUGCACUCGUGGAGAUCCCACUGGGUUAUGAUUUAUAUCACUAUAAUAUGCGAAAAUGUAUCUUGUCCUAACAAAUUUCUCCAUAGUGGAUUUUAAUAAUGUGAGUAAGGAUUUUUAAAACUUGGUGUUUCCAAAAAGUACAUAUUUAUUUUUUAGAUAUAUUUGUUAAAAUCCUUCUACUAGGCAAUACGUUAUUAACGUAGAUUGAAUUAUUUUUCAUAUUUAAAAGCAAUCCCAUCACAUUUCUCUAAAAUAUUAAAAAACACUGAACUCUGACUCUUUU